ACAAGGUGGAACACAGUGUUUUCUGUUUGGAGAACUCAGCCUGAAUAUGUAGGGCCUAUGUAUUACAUAUUUGAUAAGGAAAUAAUGUUAUAACAUAGAUCAGUGUAUAUAUUUUACUCCCUACGUUGAUGUUUUGCUCUGUAGAUUUAUAAUAUCGCUGGCAAUAGCAUGGACCCACCACCAUCUACUCAGGCCACAGUUUCGGGAGAUACGGGAGCCACGUCUUUGAUUAUGUCCAGCACUGAUUCUGAACCAAGGUUUGAACUGAAAGGACAAGUAUUCCCCUCUGCCCCCCCACUCAGCUCAGACAUGGCUAUUCCAGAUGUUUAUACCUCAGAUAAACUCAACUUUUAGUCUACGAAAGUGAGCUUCAGUCCAGUUCUGGCACAUGCAAACCACAUGCAAAACCAUUAUAUAAUGCCAUAAGGGAUACAAAAGUGUUUUUUUUUUAUUUAUUUUUUUUAUAACUGUAUUGUAAUAGCUUUACCUCUAUUAUUUACCUCUUCUACAACAAUGCAAUACUUUUAGGCAACUGUGUAAAUGUAUUUUAUAUACAUUUUCUACAUAAGGCUUUUUACAUAGACCUAUCACACUGGCAUGGUUACUGUUACAUCUCAAUAUAGUAUAUUUGGAGAUUGAGUUAAUACAAAGGUCUUUUAUAUUAUAGGUUACAUGGACUGCUAUGACAAUAAUGUAAAAAAAGAUAAGAAUGUAUGUACGAAUGUAAGAUGCAUCCUAGAGAUACACCAAUAUAUUGGUUGGCUGAGAUAUCAGGCCAAUAUUUGCACUUUUUAGUGAAUUGGCUUUUGGCCUUAAAUCUCAAGCACAGGACAAUAUUUUGAUUUGACUAACCUGCUACUUGAAGAGUAUGUGCAAAUUUUAUUUUGAACACUUUAAUGCAAAUAGAUAACUGCUAAAAUGUGACUACAUAGCCAUCUCGAAGGCUUGUGGUAAAAUGGGGCUGUAGGUAAUUUUGUUAUAAAUGAAAAUGGCGUAAUUUGGUGAAAAUAAUCAAAAUCAGCCUCACAUAUUGGUCCAAAAAUAUCUGCAGAGUUUAUCGGUCAUGAAAAAAUCAUCAGUCCAUUUCUACUUUGUCCCCCUUCCUUACGCCACCCUCCCAUGUCUGUUGUCUUAUUGUGUAUUAUAUGUAUUGUAUAAUAAGAAAAUAUAUUGUUUACUGAAUAUUGUUUAUCAUGCUAAUUAUGAAGUAAAAAAAAACAACAUUAAAAUGAGUUACAAAAUCUGUGUACA